rnacentral:rRNA from 1 species
GAGAUAGCUGGUUCUCCGCGAAAACUAUUUAGGUAGUGCGUCAGAUGGUGGCUCUCGGGGGUAGAGCACUGGAUGGGCUAGGGGGGCGCGAGCCUUACCAAACCUAACCAAACUCCGAAUACCGAGAAGUUCAGUCUGGCAGACAGACCGUGGGUGCUAAGGUCCAUGGUCGAGAGGGAAACAGCCCAGACCGCCAGCUAAGGUCCCCAAGUCACGGCUAAGUGGGAAAGGAUGUGGGAAGGCCAAGACAACCAGG